CGAGAGAGAGAAGAAAUGAAAUCACUUCCUCCUUCACAGGCACCUCCUUCCCCCUUCUUCUUCAGCAACGACAAUACUCCCUCCUCCAUGAAAACCAAAAAUCAAUUAUUCUCUCAAUAAGCACUGCAUGUGUGAAAAUUAUAGUGCCCAACAUCGAUUGAACUCGUUAGAAGCAAAAUCAAUUUUUGAUUUCCUCUCAUUCCUGCUAUUGGUCGAAAAUCCCUUCCCCCCCUCACAAGUUCAUGUUCCUCCAUUGUUAAAGCUUGCAUAUGCCAAUCUAUGUUCACAACCAUCAAUUGGAGUUGUUAGGAUUCUAAGGUAAGAACUUGAUUUCUCCAUUCCUUCUCAUGUUGAUGGUUGAAAUUCUAAUUCCUAACCCCAAAUCAUGUUUCCAUAUUUGGAUAUGCAUGUAUUCUGUUCACAAUUAAUGGAUUUGGUGAAUAUGAGUUAAGAAUUAAGGGAACUAGAAGAAUUGGAAGAAUUUGGGUUAAACCCGUAUUCUGGACAGACAGGCACUAAAAAGGUGACUGUUCUCUCUCUGUAAAACCGUUUGAGAUGCCGUUUGUUUCUAUGGAUAGCUAACUCAAAUACGGUCGUUGUGGCACUGGUUGCAUAAUUUUUGGACGUGAAAUGAGCAUUUCAGUUGCAAAUUAUGCUUUUCGGCGAGCUCUGGAAGUGUCCAUGCUAUUGUUCAAGCUUCUUUUCAGAAUCUCCGAGACUUCACAAGCUCUCGCCAUUCUCCAUCGAUUCUUCAUGGAGCAUUCGUGACGAUCUUCAAAAACUCUCGCAAUUCUUCACUCAGCGUUUUCAAGUUGAUUUCAGAAUCAAUUGAUUGUGGUAUUUAGUGAUUUUGCCUUCAGAAAUUUGACUUACGGGUCUUCCUCAUGUCCAAUUCUUGUAUCUCUAUGACUGUUGCUGUAUCUCCUGUUGGAUCAACCAACAAUUUUCACACUUCGUGGACCAUAGGUUGGUGUUCCUAUAUUGCAAUACUUUACUUCCUUAUAGCUUUUAUAUACAAAUUGAGGAUUUUAAUUUGAUUCAUGCUUAAUUUUAGGUUAGGUUGGCUCAUCUUAGGAGAAUUUGAAUAAAUUUAUUAUGCUUUAGGAGAUUCAGUACUAAAUUGUCCUUAUCAAAUAUGCUACAAUUUGGUAUGAGUCACAUAUUAACUGAAGUUAUUUCCUGCGGCAUGUGCAUUUUUAUGUGAGGCUAACUUUGAUGUUAGUAGCAGUAAGUGGUUUUAUCAUUUUAGUGAGGUAGAGGCUAACUUUGAUGACAAUUUUAUUUUUGAGUUGUAGAAGCUGCUCAGAGAUGUCAAUGUGAGCCUCUAAUUUCAACAACUCUUCAAAUUUAAAGCAUUUAACAUUGGAGUGUUUCCACUUUCUUCUCUAAUAACUUGAAAACCUUAGCCAUAAAAAGUCCUUAUUUCUUUUGUCUCCCACUUCGCUCACACUCGUUUAGUUCUCCAACUUCACCUCUUCUUAUUUCUCCUUGCAUCUUUAUCAUGUUUGUCAUCUCCAUCAUAAAAAACUCAAGGUAAGGACUCUGGUUCUUCUAACUUUUGUUUUUUUUUAAGAUUUGGUUCACUAGUUUAGAGAGAAUCAGAAUUGGAUUGUUUGCUCAUUUCUUUACUUUUGUGUUUAUGCCUUUAGUUCCUAUUAGUUUUGAUAAUAAUGUCUCUGUUGUGUUUGAUAGAAUGCUUUAAUAAAGAUAGUAACAUGUUUGCAAAUUAUUGUCAUGUGCACUGAAUAAAAUACCUUCUUCAAAUUAUUGAUUGUUCGACACAGGCAGCUCAGAUUCAUAUGUGGUAAGUUUCUAAAACCGAUUUGAAUUUCGUAACUAUUAAUAUUUUGAUGUCAACUGAAUGAUGCCUUCAGUACUCGUUGGAUUUUUCUGUGAUAGUUCGCAUUUAGUGUUCAAUAAAUGCUAUAAUCUGUUUCACUUGUAAUUCUGUUUCAAUCUAUGUUGUAAACUGUACCAAAAACAAGUCAUAUCGGUUACUCUCUUGUAUGCUUUCACAGGGAAUCAUGUAUGCAGUCAUGAAUUUAAAGACCUACAUUUAAGGGGAUUUAUUUUGAUGGCUAAAUAAAUUUGCUUUUUUUUUGUAAUGUGGAUCAAAAUUCUGCCUCUGUUUAUGAACAUAUUUAUAAUUUGAACUGUGAAAAAAAAUGAAAUGUAGAUUGGAACCCUACACACUUGGAUUUUCGCUUGUUCUCAUGCUGGAGCUAGUGGCGAGAUUGAAUAGAUCGGCAGAACGCAGCUGGACUGAACCAUGGUAGUGCAGUUAAAAUGAUGAAGCAUGAACUGGAUUCCUCUUAAUGUUGCAGAGCAGAUUUGGAUGUCCAUCCAAGAAAACAACCAAUAAGUCAUAUGUUUCUUCUCAAUGUACAUAUAUUCAUAUGUUUCUUCUCAAUGUAGUUUUUUUAGAUAUUUCUAUUGUUAUAUAUUGUUUUUCCAUUUCAGUUGUAGGAUAUUAGAUUAUUAAAGAUUAAUAUGUCUCUCAGAAGUACAAUGUUGGUUAUAGUGUAUCUUAAAAAUGAUUCUUAAUUUGUUGGUAUUGUUGUUAUUGAUACUGUAGGUGGGUGCUUCUUAGUGAGUCAAAAUGGUAUAAUUCUUGGUAAGGAAUAUUAGCACAAUUGAAUUGAAAUUAUAGGACAUGACACUUGCAAUUGCAGUGACAUGGAUGAUCAAAUUUGUGGAUGAGAAUCAGGAGGUUCUUAAUGUCAGUGAAUUUUCUACAAUAUUAAGUUUUGUAUUUACUUGACUUGUUUUUUCAAUACAUAUUGUUGGUAUUUACUAUAAAAUACUUGUGAUUAAAUAGAAACAACUUCAGAUUGAGAAAAAAAAAAGGUAGAGGAAGUGUGUAUCUUACAUUAGAGACACUUUUCUGAGAUGCAUUAUGUUUUCAAGGUGUGUCACGCUUGUUCUCGAAUCAGCGCACUAGGAAUCGAAGAUUUAAGAUGAUUUCCGACAAGAGCACAUUCAUAGGAAGUGUGUAUUAAUACUAUUGGUACUUCUAUUCAAUUAAAUUACAAAAGUGCUAUUAGCUUGGAUUACUUGCAGGUGGUAAAAGAAGAAGACUGUGAAAUUGAAGGAUUCAAAGAUCAAGAAAGGGUGGAACAUCAAUAUUGAGGCUAAAUCAAUACAUCAUGAUCCAACUAUUCAUUGUGACCCGAAUAUGUUCAAUCCUUCAAGAUUUCCUAAUGAUAGUAGCAGAUGAAUUAGAUUAUCUAAUAACCAAAGACGGAGUUGUGCUCGAUGAUCUUUUCAUGCUCGUCACAUUUCCAUUUUCCAGAUGUAUAUUGAUAGAGUUUACAGUACGUAUAGUUUCUAUGUUUGGGAGGGUACACAGACUUCACUGGUGUCCCAACAAGAAUUAUUAUGACUCUUAAUCACAUGAACAUAUGCAACCCUGCUACAUUUUUUGGAAUCUAUGUCUACUCUUCGCCUAUCAAUCUUGUUUACUCGGACGUCAGUAUCACAACCAGCAAGUUGAAGAAACACUUUCAGCCAAGAAAAAGUUGUCGUCUUGUAUUAGUGAACUUGGUGGGUAAAAAGGUUCCACUUUAUGUAGCUGGAUCAACCAUAAUAGUAUCGCAAACCGGUAGUAUUGAAGUUGUACUUUAUGCUCUUGUGUUUAAAUUGUAACUUAAAAUCGUAUAAUUUAAAGUUUGUGAGUAUUAUUUUUGCUUGAGGAUGUCCAUUUGCAAGAGAAGUUGCUGAAUCAGUUUGUGUAUUCCA